UACGUAGGGUGCAAGCGUUGUCCGGAAUUAUUGGGCGUAAAGAGCUCGUAGGCGGUCUGUCGCGUCGGCUGUGAAAACCCGGGGCUCAACCCCGGGCCUGCAGUCGAUACGGGCAGACUAGAGUGCGGUAGGGGUGACUGGAAUUCCUGGUGUAGCGGUGAAAUGCGCAGAUAUCAGGAGGAACACCGGUGGCGAAGGCGGGUCUCUGGGCCGAUACUGACGCUGAGGAGCGAAAGCGUGGGGAGCGAACAGG
rnacentral:rRNA from 1 species